GCAAUUCUCCUGCCUCAGCCUCCCAAGUAGCUGGGAUUACAGAUCAUCUCUCUACUGACCUUUUAGUGGCUUAGCAUUUUGUUGCAAUGCACAAGUGAAGUUGGGAAACAGAGCCAAGUGACAAGCUGUGAAGUAACAGCUCAGCCUUCACAAAGCAAAUGUGCUUUGUGCACUUCCUUGCCAGAGCAGAUGUGGCCUUGGUGGACUGUGGGGAGCAUCAUCUCUCAGGUAAAAAUAAAUUACUAAGAUUAGGACCAAAUGAUGCAAAUCCUUUCAUUUGCAAACAGAUCAUGAACUGGCAGCCAUGUGGAAAGAAGACUAGACUGCGAAUCACUUAGGAUCCCACCCUCGGUUUAGUCUAGAAUACUCUGCGAAUCAGCUUUUUGGCCCUAGUGGAUGACAAGAACUGAGACAAAUCACCAAUGGGCACAAACUAGUAGGAAAGAGACAAAUGGAAGCAAAAUAGCAAAAUGGUGAAGAGGAGGGUUCUAGAGGCAGAGAGCCCUGCAGUCCUGAGUCCUGAGUCCACCGUUUAACAGAGUGACUUUGCUCAGCCUGUGGAUUAUAAUGAAACUUGCCUGUUAUAGGAUCCAGUUUUUUAGGUGGUAGCAACAUGCUCAAGGAAGAUGCAGCCCCUUCCUCCAGCCUGAGAGAAUAAAGCAUCAUUGGCUUAUGCCAACCAUGGCAAUCCCAUUCCCCUUUUCUCAUGAUUGAUUUGGGAAUGGGCAAGUGACCCAGUUCUAACCAAUGAGACGAAAGAAAAAGUCUAUUGGUCAGCUUAUCUCAGAAGAUUUUUGUUUCCUGCUAUAAAGAGAAACAGUCAUGGCAUGGAGGCAGUUCAUUUUGGAACUAGAAGUUUAAUGGGACCCCUGCAAAGGCAAACACACCUUUGAUUGGCUGGUGUUGCUAAAAAGCAGAAGAAAAACAAAAUGAACCUCCCAAAACUGUGAGUAAGACAAAAAACAAAAAAUUAAAGUCUGUGUCUGAAAGAUGGAAGGGAGAGUCUAUUGAGGUCUUUGAAACCCUACCUGGGGGCUCUAGGGUUUUGGCUACAAGCCAAGAUGAGGAGCAUAAGAAUAAUUGAAUCAAGGUAAUCAGGAUAGGAAUAAACUGAUGAAAGACGUGUUAAUACUUGGUGAGAGAUUUUUUUAAUGUGGCUGAGUUUUAAAAUUUUUAUUUAAACAAUAGCAUUCACAAUAGUAGUUGCUAUAACAUAAAAGUCCAUAUAGCCGUUGAAAUCACGUAUAGAUUGUGAUUAAAAUGUGUGUGUGUAUAUAUAUAUAUAUACACAUAAAAGCAAGUUUGACAGGAAACACACUAAAAUGUUAAGUAACAAUGAUUAUCACAAGGAAGUGGAAUUAUGGAUGACUUUGAUUUUCAUUCCUAUAUUUUCUUUAUUUUCCGAAAAUGUUUAA
rnacentral:lncRNA from 1 species